UCAAGUGGGCAUGGAGAGGAGUCUUAAUUGCAUUUCAUUUCUGAAACAUUCCAAAGACUCUUUAGUUGACCUUCAAAUAGUCAAGCUACUGGCUUCACCACCUACCAACAACCCCUGGAUGCAAUUAGAAUAAUAGCUCCCUUUUUGCUUUACGUCUUCUACAUGCCAGGUGCUCCACAGGUUAUUUCGCUUCAUCCUCACACCGUAUUUGCAAAAGAUGUGUCACUAUCUACGUAUUACAAAUGAGGAAACUGAAGCUUGGGGAGAUAAAGUGAUGUGUCCAACUGUGGGACUGUGAAGGCCAUGCUCUUCCCAGGAUGCUGUACCUCUCAGCUGUCCUCAAUACCUGCUGCAUCACCCACUGCCCUGUCCCAGUCCCUACAUCCUUACAAUUCAGAAUCCUUGCUUCUGUGACAAUGGCAUCAUCUGGCUCGCACUUUCCUGCUGGCCCCAUCUUCUGUAGACACCAAGGUGAGCCUACCCCAGGACUAAAGUUCCUGCAGACACCCCAGCCUGUCCCCCCACUAUUGAGGGCUCUGCUUCACCUAAGAAGACCAAGCUCUUUAAUUUUUAGUAAAGAUUUGAGAUGAUUUACAGCGAAAGAUACAAAGAAAAGACACCUGUGGCUCGGCGC